rnacentral:lncRNA from 1 species
CUUGAGAACCCUCAGUUCUUUGGAUAAAUAGGAGGUUAGGUGCUCAGAGGAAGAGCCUGUGACCCCAUCAUAAAUAUUUAAGAGAAUCUUACUUUCAUUUCUGAAAGAGCCUUGCAGCUGUUUAUAGGGGUCAGCUUUUUCUGAGAGAAAAAAUUUUAUCCCAGGUUUUAGGGCUUUGACACUGACUUUGAGGUAAUCAGCAAUUCCCAGGAGCAUAACACACUACUGUGGUCCAAUCAGUUCUAUUUUUACUGAAGGUUGGCUCCCUGUGGCUCACACUUAACCUCUGUUAUUUCCUUAGUCUGCAGUGUAUAGUGGAAUAGAAGGGCUCAGCCCCCAGGAGAACCUCAUCUGAGGACCCAUAACCUGAGGGUGCUAUUGCAGGAAAAGCCAAAUGGAAGCUCCCAGAGCUGCCCUCCCUGCCAGAGAGUCAAAGGAAAGCAGAAACAUUUUCCCGAGGGAACGGCAGGGAUUUGUGUCGUCAUCAGAGACUGGAAAUACACAAGGAUGGUUAUACUUCUAUCACCAUCUUGGCGCAGAUGACCACAAGCUUAGUCAGGAAGAGAUUCCUAUUGCACUGAUUCGAUUUACUUACUGCAACAGAUCAGCAUGGACUCCGGCCCCUCAGGGGCAGCUACUUAUUGAGAAGAUGCAUUAGUCUACCUCAGUGAAAACACUGAUCACGAAGCAGUUUGCCUUGACCUUACAAGACACCACAAGCUGUCCACCUUCACUGCUGUGUUCCAAGGUUAUGUCCGAUGCUCUUUCUCCGCCACGAUUGGGUACAGAGGAUUGUACCCAAUACCACGAUUGGUCAUCUCGUCUCACCAUCUCAAGUGAUUUUAUUUUAGUUUGUCACAUCGAUGGCAAGUUGGAGUGUCUGGAGAGUAGAGGAACCUACACACUUAUGCCUUGAUGAGCAGCAUGAGAGGGUCCUGACACCUGAGACCAUGAGGCCCUCAAAUGAUGCUUCCAGGCAUCCCAGCCAGCGACAGAGACAGCGAAGCCUCACUAGUCUGGUUUCCAUACCUCCCGCUUGCCUUGAGCCUGGCUGACACAUGCCCUCCUUGUGAUGGAUGUCACACUCAACAGCGACAAGCAUUUGGGCACUUGGCGGAGAUUGUCCUGGGAAGGAAGCGUUCUUGUUGUCAUAAGGACAAAUGACUCAGUGAAUAUGAGCCUGGCAAACAGCUCCUGCUUCUAUGAACAGCCACGGACACCCCAAAGAAACCAUCGGGUACCAACACUGGCUUGAGACACGAACAAGCGUAUGGUGACGUGUACUGUUUCAGGUACCCCCACCUUCUUGGGGUCACUGGUUGCUUCUGACUUUAGCUAGUAGGAGUAUGACCCCAGUCUUCUGGGUCACCUGGGUAAAUCUCUGUAUCAUCUUGGCCUGACGCCCUGAUUUCUGUUCCCCGAAUCCCUCUUUUAUGCCACACUGUUGCUACAGGCUUCUAGACUAACAGAAUGGCCUUAUGGGAGGGAAGUGGGCCAUUUGGGUUUCACUUCCUCAUCCAACUGACCCCUGUCUCUGCUCACGUGUCCAGACUCAACACAGAGCAGUCCCUGUCACACUCUUAGGCAGCCCCCUUCUCCUAGGCUUCCUGUCACACCUGCUUGGACCGUUGCUGUAUUUGUUCUUGGGCAGUUGUAUGUCCUUGGAUUCUUAGUUUCUCUUAAUUUGGGCUGACGUGAGUUAGUGAAAAGAUAAGGUUGAAGAGGUUGAUAAAUGUCUCUUUCAACAGUCUCCUGGGGCUAAACUUUCCACCUACUGAGAGAGAGCACUUGGAAGUCACAUGGGCACUUUGGUGUCUUGUAGUGCCAUAGGGGAGCCUCUGGCAUUCUAUAGGUGGGGACAGUCAUCCUAAUAUUUUCACCAGAGCUUUCCCAUUGAAAAUACCAACAGCUUCCAUCCAAAGACACUGCUCUAACUGGAUCAGCAUUCUUUGCAGAGUUAGAGGUACCGGAUGGAAGAUCCUUGGAUAACAAAAAUCAGAUGGAUGAACCCAGUGAAUGGGGAAGCAUGCAGACAGCCCAGGUGUACACGGCACUUUAUGAAUAUUGGACAACUAUAGGAAAUGCAACUACGAGAUUUCUCCAGAGGAGGUCUGUGUGCCUUCUGUGAGUUGCUCCCUGGGAGAUGGAGGUCUGUGUGCAUUCUGUGAGUUGCUCCCUGGGAGAUGGAGGUCUGUGUGCAUUCUGGGAAUUGCUGUCUGGGAGAUGCUUAUGCCAGCAUCCUGGAAGCAGCUGCUUGGAAAUGAAAAGAACUGAGGACAUCCACUCUGACUUCUGACUCAAGAUAAUGAAGCCCUCAUCCAGUGGCUGAUGGAAGCAGAGACAGACAUCCACAGAUAUACACUGAGCUGAAAUCGGGAAUUUAGUUGAAGAGAGGGAGGAAUGAAGAUCGAAGGGGUCAGUACCAGGUUGGAGAAACCCACAGGAACAGUUGGCUGGAACAAGGGAGAGCACAUCGACCCCAGAUGCUGUCUGGGAGGCCAGUACAAGACUGAUCCAGACCCCUGAACAUGGAUGUCAAUAAGGAGGCCUCUGCACUCCAGGGAGCCUCUGGUGGUGGAUUAGUAUUUUUCCCUGGUACAAGAAGGGACUUUGAGAGCCCAUCCCACGUGAAGGGUUACACUCUGGCCCUGGACACAUGGGGAAGGGCCCAGGACCAGCACAGGAAGAUUUGGUGGACUUUGCAGAGCCCCCGUUGAGGGCCC